AUACCAUGAUGAUGACACCUUCCGAGCAAUUCCUUGAACUUUUCCCAAGCCUCGUACAAACUCUCAUAUUCAAGUUGAUGGAAUGAAGUAAUCUCAAUUCGAAAUUU
rfam:Citrus clementina cultivar Clemenules unplaced genomic scaffold scaffold_3, whole genome shotgun sequence.